rnacentral:miRNA from 1 species
AGUGGAAUAGCUGGGUCAAAUGGCAGUUCAAUUAUAAGUUUCCCCAGAAAUCACCAUACUGCUUUCCAUACUGGCUGCACCAAUUUGCAGUCCCACCAGCAAU